GCGGCGUCGGGAUCAGGCUCCAGUUCCCCCUACCCCACAUUGUUGUUGUUGUUGCUGCUGCUCCAGUUCCAAUUCCAGCGAGUGCCAGCGAUGGGGAUGCUCGGAUCGCAGUCCCUGCUCUCAUUUUCCUCCAGCCUCUGGUAACCCUCCUCCUCACCCGCUUCGCCUAAGCGGGAUUCAUAGGGAGCAUCAGCUACGUCUUAUGUGGGGAUGAACCGAGUGAUAGGAAAAUAUUUUUUUGAAUGCAAUGGGAAGGCGAAAAACGACACGCCUUGGUGAAGCAACUCUGAGAUUCGGAAACAAGGACUCCUAUUUGUCUGUAGAGCAUGUGGAGCUGUUGGGCAAGCAGAGUUCUAUCUGGGUAUUCAGGUAGCUGAGGAUAACAGGGAAAAGGAAAAUCUCCAGGCUAUCAUGCAUACCAUGCACCUCUAAGGCUCGUGCUGUGAGCGUACUUUGGGGGAGGAGUACCACCCAUGGAUUGAUCCUUCGCUGGCAGGGCCGGGGCCAGGCCGGCGGUCAUGUCUUUCGGGUUGGCGGCGAGGGAGGAGCAGCAAGGCAAGCUCACGUUACCCAAGUAGCAGGCCUCUUGUGUCCUGAGUCCUGAUGCCACGGGUAGCUGGAGCUGAUGUUGCCCUUGGUUUAUGCACGA